AUGCCACUAGUCUUACAGGCAAAAGGGGCAAAAAUAGGGUGGGCAGAAGGAGGGAACAGUCACAGUAGUUGUGAGUAUGUUCUGUAUUUCAAGAUUUCUCUCUGUCUCAGGGGAACGAGUCAGAAAGGAGAAGGCAGAGCCUGCCUCCAGCUGAACUCUUUGAGAUUGGCCAGAUUCAACGUGUUACAAACAAACAUAUUCCACCUGUUACAACAAUCUGGCAUAUUACUUCCUUGAUACGUGAUGAUACAAUACCUCUCAGGUUUGCUGAGUAGCAAAGAGAAAUGGAAACAUUAACAGUCCAAUUGCUUGAGAUUUUUUGAGAGGCCAAAGGAGCAGCAAAAUACAUGUUGGGGAAAAAGCUUGAAUUGGCAGGUAGGUAGAUUAGCUGACCUAUUAGUUCUUUUCUAUUGCAAACUUCUAAGAUUUUAUGUGGGGAAAAUUCCUUUUCAACCCACGCUGGCAAUCUGUUUAUGUUCUGAAGUAUGAUGAUUGACAUCCCUUUUAACUUUUAACCUAGAGAAUGUCUCUGCAAGUGUUAUUCCUACAUAUAAAUGUCUAAUGCUUUUAAUAAAAAAAAAAAGUCUCUCA
rnacentral:lncRNA from 1 species